GAAGAACAUUUGGCUAUGGAGCUAUGUUUCUGCAACUAAAACUAAAAAAUAUAUCUUUCACAGCUCUCUCACUCUGUCGGCGAGAGCGUGCAUAUGCGAGUUUCUUUUGGAAGUGAUCCAAGCCAACAAUCAUGGAUACAAAAUGUUAGAAUCUCUAUCCACUCAGUCAUAAUGAUAUUGGACUCUCCAUUAACACCUAGGAUGUGCACAUUCGGGUGCAAGACAAGUUAAAAAACGAUCAAUGGAAUCGGCGAAAGAGCGGGAACCUUUGCUUUUGAUCAGAACGUUUGUGUACAUUCCAAUAGACGAAUUCGAAGCUGCAACGAUUUCCCCCGUUCAGGAGUUCCCCUCACGGCAGAGCUUCACUUUGGUUGAAGAUGAUCAUCCAUUUUUAACGUGUUGUUGUCGUAUUAUUUACACUCAA